ACAGAACUCAUUUUCGAUGUUUAACAACAGUUAAUUAAAAUUUAUUCAGUCAAAAGCUUUGACAUCGAUUAUUUUCAAGAUUUCUUUUAUUUUCAAGAUUCAUGAUAAAAUUAGAAGAGUCCACGAAUUUAGAGCUCCCCGUUUUCAACUAUGGACGCAAGUUGCAAAGGAAAGCGAUAGUGACAGAGAAGAGGAAGCCAUGUGAGGAUGCUAUUGUUUAACGAUGAUUGCUGAAUUCUUGGCAAAUACUUUUCUUAAUUUCCUUCCUCAGAUCAUACGGAGAGUAGUUAGGCCAAUUUAUUUUGAAAAUAUCGUCCCACGCCUUCAUUACAGUGCCUAUUCCUUUGUGUUUACUACUUUAGUAUUUAUUCUUGAAUUGUAGGAAACUACUAUUUUUUUAUUACUUACUGAUAAGUUUGUUUUUUUGUUUUUAAGGAAUUACUUUUCUGUGUGAUGAAGGCAUAGAAGAUGACAUUUUGUGGUUUCGCAGAAAAUUGGGAUCCCACAAAGUCUUCAUCAAUUCUCUGACAUAUUUGGGAAGCUAAGAAUCAGACUCAUCAUUCCAUUUGGGAUCAUUCUUUGCUGCCGGGGUGAUUUCUCUUAAUCUCUUACCCUUUAUUUUGUGUUGUAUUUUUUAGGAACCUGAGUAUCAGAACUAUCGCUCCAUAAGGAUUUAAAGUGUGAUAUUCCAGGAGCAUUUCAUCAUCACAGGCUCACAGCGCAUCUCAUCAUACUCUGGAUUAUACUCAUAUGGUGGAGAACCAUGGUUAAUUUUCUCAGAUGCAGAAGAAUCAGUGUCUGAAGACACAUAUUGUGUUGGUAUUUCCUUUUUGUGUUUUUCUAGCUGUACUCUGAUAUUACUCUGACUCAUUCAGACGUCAUUCACGACUUGUUCACCUUGUGCCUUCACAUUCUUUGAAAAAAAAAUCAUUCAUUUACGUAUCUGAGUAACUUUAUCAUUUGACUUUACCAUAUUUACCUUUGUUUAUCAUUUAAUUCAGCAUUAGUUUUUUUCAAGGACAUCUAUAUUCAUUUUGGACUCCCUCUAGUCAUUCAC